AAGAGCUCGUAGGUGGUUUGUCGCGUUGUUCGUGAAAUCUCACGGCUUAACUGUGAGCGUGCGGGCGAUACGGGCAGACUUGAGUACUGCAGGGGAGACUGGAAUUCCUGGUGUAGCGGUGGAAUGCGCAGAUAUCAGGAGGAACACCGGUGGCGAAGGCGGGUCUCUGGGCAGUAACUGACGCUGAGGAGCGAAAGCGUGGGGAGCGAACAGGAUUAGAUACCCUGGUAGUCCACGCCGUAAACGGUGGGUACUAGGUGUGGGUUUCCUUCCUUGGGAUCCGUGCCGUAGCUAACGCAUUAAGUACCCCGCCUGGGGAGUACGGCCGCAAGGCUAAAACUCAAAGAAAUUGACGGGGGCCCGCACAAGCGGCGGAGCAUGUGGAUUAAUUCGAUGCAACGCGAAGAACCUUACCUGGGUUUGACAUGCACAGGACGCCGGCAGAGAUGUCGGUUCCCUUGUGGCCUGUGUGCAGGUGGUGCAUGGCUGUCGUCAGCUCGUGUCGUGAGAUGUUGGGUUAAGUCCCGCAACGAGCGCAACCCUUGUCUCAUGUUGCCAGCGGGUAAUGCCGGGGACUCGUGAGAGACUGCCGGGGUCAACUCGGAGGAAGGUGGGGAUGACGUCAAGUCAUCAUGCCCCUUAUGUCCAGGGCUUCACACAUGCUACAAUGGCCGGUACAAAGGGCUGCGAUGCCGCGAGGUUAAGCGAAUCCUUUUAAAGCCGGUCUCAGUUCGGAUCGG
rnacentral:rRNA from 1 species